GAAUUCACCCUGCCUGGGCUCCAGCUGCAAAUUAAUCUCUUUUCAUAGUUUCGUUUUAUGUCCGCCCACUAUCCCCACCACAUUAACUCAGUCAACACAUGGAAGUGAAAUUUUUCCAUCCAGGAUCCCGGGGGUUGUAAGGCUGUUGUGGAGCACGUGACUGCCAGCUCCAGGGUUUUCUUGCACCUCUGGGUGGAAGGAAGUUUUCUCAUCCCCCACAUAUGCGAGCGGUUGCCGGUGGGAUGUGAAAAGUUUUAACAACUGGAGUUGGUGGAAACAUUUCGGCGUUCAGCAGCAUUCCUGUGUGUAUUGAAAGUCCCAGCGCAGCAGCCGGGUGGAGGCACGGCCUCUGCAGGUAUGCCACGUUUGCAGUCCCUCCGGUGCUGGCAGACUGCUCAGCAAACGAGCCGGGCAGGGGCUCUCCAUGCAGCCUGGCUCUCCUGCAGGGUUUAUCUCCCUCCCAGCGGGGACAGAAAGCACCAGCAAUGACGAUAUUGACAAAGAUGGAUGGAGUCUUCUCGGCCUAGGCAGAUGUAUUUUGUAAUUUCUACGUGAUGCCUUUUGCAUGUGGGCCUGGGAGGACUUUACAGCAAUUCUUCUGGCCCGAAAAACACUCCCAGUGUGGAUGAAAACAGAACCGGAGAUGUUCUGAAAACAUGCAAAAGUUUGUUUCAAAAGCAAGCAGUUGGUAAGAAAUUGAGAGCAGACAGCUGGGGGAGGCCAGUGGUGCAUGGUCUGGCCUGUGGGGUUAUCAGUGUGUCAUCCAGAUUGGCAGGAACUUCUAGUGAAUCGUUCAGAUCUUCUCUGUUAACUGUGACAGGACUGAACUCCCUAUUCUCACACCACCUCUCAGGCAGAGGGAGUUGCCCGAGGUGUGCACAGCAUUCCCUUGUCAGGGAGUUCCAAGGCUCAGGCAAUUUUAACCUCUCUGUAUGUGACCUAUACUGAACCUGUAUGUCUCCUACAGAGGUUUGUGGCCGCUAACUUUUUGUCUUGUUGCCUUUGCUUAACAAGACUGCAGCCCAACUUCCAAAGUCCUGCAAAAUGGUGCGUGUGGUUUUACCUUUCAGCUUUCCUGCCAGCUGUUCUCUUCUCCAGCCUGUUCCCAGGGAAUGAGAUCUUCAAAACCUUUCCAUGCUUCUCUUUGCACGCCUGCUAGAAAUAUAGGCUGUCCUAGACCCACCCUGGACUUUCAUUUUCAGCCUGGCUCAGUGCUUGGUGAUGCUGUCCUGCCUUUGGUUCUUGAGGUGGUAAAUUUAACCUUCCUGGCCUGAUGUGGGAUGAAGUUAGGAGAAAAGCACCAUGUCAAAUUGUACUGGUUCUGCUAGAGAUACAAUGGGAAUCAGAGUUCCACCUCCUGUCACAGCAUUGUGCUGCCAGCCAGGGCCCUACCUCAUUACUGUGGGGUGACCUGGCUCCCCUCACACAGCCUGGCAGUGGUGGGUGCCUGAUUAUGCAGAGUUUGUCCCCAGUGGGUUGCAUGUAUGAGUAAGUGUGCAUACCUAAUAUCUAGUAACUAGCACUGAUAUUAGCACUGUGCUUCACAGCGCCCGGGGUGCCUGGGCUGUCACCCCACUGUCAGGCUGGAGCAGCCUGGGGCCCCCCACCAGUGCACUCCUGCCCUUUGGUUUUCCUCCCUGAAGGAGAGACAUUAUUCCCUAUCCCCAGGGAACAUCAGCUUUGAAACACGGAGUUGAUUUGUUUCCAUUUACCAUUAUCUUGGUUUAAGUAAAUUACAGUGCUUAACAGCUGUCAUAAAAUUAUCUGGCUUCAAGAAACUUCAGCUGUAGAGUUUGGUCCUGUGGCCUCCCAGAUCAGCUCAUUUCCAAGAGGCAAACGUGCACUGGGAAAAGAAACAACCUCUCCUUGUUCAUCACAAAUGGUCACCUCCCCAUUGUAUCAGCAGCUGCCUUGCCCAGUGCUGGUCACUGUAGAAAAGUACAGCAAGCCUUUCACCAUGCACUGCUUCACCCUUCUCAACAACUCUGCCAAGGUAUUUAAAUCAACCAAAUCAUCCACCAUCCCUCACCAGUGGCCACCACAUCACCAACAUUUUAGAAUCAAGUUCUGCCCUGGAGAGGAGGCUCCUUGACAAAGCAGUGAUGAUCCUCACUGAGGGAUUUUGGAUCACCUCUGGAUAUACUGCAAGUAAAAUAUCUUCUCUUAACAUCUGCCUCAUCUGGAAGCUGAAGGGGCGGGCUGGCUGGUUUUAGGCAUCACUCUUGACCUGUGUUAGGAUUUCAGCAACGAGAAUCUGGUUUCCAAUUGUGGUAUCGUAAGGAAAGAGGAUAGACCAGGUGCCUAGUGUGUCCAAAUCAAACCCCAAACCAAUAAAAUCUUAUUUUAGUUGCUGAAACAGAAACUAUGAAUCUAAAUACCCAUAAGGAGCAGAUGAGCUGGACAACCAGCAAUAUCAGGCAGGCAUUGUUCUGGCAAUGGUAUCUGCACUUUAUUUCUGUCAGCAAGUUUAGGUAGUGAUGUGUCUCUUGCUUCAUUUAAAAACUGGUAGAUAGUGAGGUCCAAGAUGACAAUUUAUCUAAUUAGAAUUUCAAAAUAAUACAUUAUGCCCAAUUUUCUGGUACAUAUAGAUUAACUGUGAAAAGGCCAGAGCUGGCAGAAAUGUGGAUUUCCUCAACUUUUGUACAUCUUUCUUUGUGCUGCCCCUGGUAGGACUGGGACUGCCAUGACUUCCCCACAGGUGGCAAUGAAAAUUGAUCCGAGGUCCAGCCUGCUCCUCUGCUUCACCUAAGUAUAACACAAGAAGUGGACAAGAAACAUGAAUGCUAAAAAAGUAAAAUCCAGUCCAGCUCCAGGUAAAGGCAAUGUACCAACUCCUUUUCAGUGCUCUCUGACACACACAAUUGGUCCUUGAACUGCUAUCAUUUGGUCUGCUAGUAAAACAAAUCAUAAUGUUCAAUAUGAAGUAAGCCAGGAAGAGAGGAAGAAACUGCAAUUCAGCAGUAAGCAUCUGAGCAGUGUGGAAAAAGUGCUGGUGGGGGCUAGAGCCUGCAAAUCCAGCCAAGAGCCUCUCACUAACAGGCUGUGCUAGAUUUCAUGUGAUUCCCAAAUGCAGCGGGGAAUGAGGGACAGGGAAAAACCUGCUCUAGAAACUGACUGUAUUUUGUCCAGCACUAAACAGCUCUUUUGGGUCCUGCUUUGUAAAAGAUUACAUAAAAUAAAAAAAAAAAAAAAAAGAAAAGAAAAAAAAUGAAAAAGAAAAGAGUGAAAUUGAGAUUGGGAAAAGAAACAAAGAGUCCCAAAUAAACAUGUUUUUGAUGGAGGAACUGGGUUUUUGCACCCUAGCACUGUUUGUACUUUCAGAUUGUCAGCAAUCUGUAGUGUGCUGAGCAGAGGACAGUGUGGUGGAAAUACCUAUGAAGCAGUGAGAGCCUUAUCAAGGUACUGUACCAGGAAAUACGCCGCUUUCUUUCCUACUGCAUGCACGAUACUGUGAUUAAAGCCAGCAGCACGCCUCACCAUAACAUGUGCCUUAUCAGCCCCACUAUCUGAUGACAGCAGCAGCCCUCGGCAGACCACACCGACAUCAUCCAAAACCUCAGCAGCUCAAGUCUGAAGUAUGCAGCUGGGCUGCAAGCUGUGCUUGACUUCGUUCAUCUGUUUGUACUAAACUUGCAGGUACUUUGCUAGAGGAAAAGGAGUAUAAAAAUCGAGCCCAAACAAUGUUUCUGAAUGCUCCUGACAGGCUGUCAUGCUAUUUAGCAAAUGAAUGCAGCAAGUAAAGGAGGUUUUUGUCAUCAUCAAGUACCACAAGUCUGCUCCACAGCUUUCUGAGGGGGGGGGGGGGGGGAGGGUCAAACCAAGACAUUGUCACUGCCUUGAGGACGGUACCACUGGUGAUUUGGUACGGAGUCCCACUCCCAGCUGACCCAAAUUCAGUUGUGUGUGGCUGUGAGGUCUAAGUUCAUCCUGUAGCUGUUGAUCCAGGUGGAGCUCUGAAUCUCCAGAUACUAAACUUCAUCAUGGCUGGUUCAUUGCCUGUCUUCUUGUUUGGUUACUACUGAUUCACCGAGGCAAGGCAUACUGACUCUGGCCUUCUGGCUUCCUUUCUAUAAUUUACAAUGAGAAUCUCUACAGUCACAAAAAUAAGAAACAGAAAAGAGAGUAGGCUUUUCUUGUGUAACAUUCAGCAAACUUCUCUGGUUUUAAUUUGUUCUCCCUGUCCUGGGUUCUUCAAAACACCUUCUCUCAUUUACGUCAGCAUAGAUUUACCACACCCCAGUUAUUUCAGACCUGGAUAGCAGCAUGGAAAAAGAUUACCAGUCAUCUGGAGCUGCUUCCUUAUGCCUUGGACAAAAGGAGAUCAUAUGGGACCAUAUUCAUUCAAGAACUGCCUUUGUAUUUGUACAGAACCUAGCACGAGUGAUCCUACUCCUUCAGGUUCGCCCGUGCUCCAAAACUGUUCUUAAAAACACCCCCUGCUUUUAAUGUUUGGGUUUUGGUUGGUUUGUUUUUUAGUUGCAAUGCAAGCUUUCAGAGGGAAAUCAAGCCAGAUUUAAAUGCUGAAUGCAUGCAUAGCAACAGAAGUAGGGCCAUCCAGCAGACGGAUGCUAAGUGUCCAUUUACAGCCCCCACGGAGCCCAGCAGCCACCAGCCCCGGGCCAUGCAGGCUCGGUGGGCCUUACUGCCUGCUGUCACCCGGGGCACGGAGGGCUCCGGCCGCUGGAGGGUUUUGAGAGGUCCCCGCACCUGUCUCAUGGAUUUGGGGCGCUGCUUUGCCGAAGAGACCUUGUCUUCCAGGACAUGUGCAAAGUCGCUGCUGGCUCCCUCCCCUGCCAUCACAGCUGCCAUCACAGCUGCCCGCCCCGGCAGCGCCGGGCGCAGGAUGAGGAACCGCCGGCCGCGUUAUGAGCAUCAGCUCCAUCGGCGACGUGUGAAGGACCGAAAACCACCCGGCAAAAGGAAAAUACAGAUGAUUUUUAUUUCAUUGUCUCAGGAAGGCUUGGCUCAAGGGAUGGGCUGCAAAGACGUCUGGUGGAAAUAAGACUUGCCUUUUAGGAUAGAGCAUUAGAUAAAUCCAGCUGUGUUGUGGGACUGCUGGAAGCCUCCCCGAACAAGUGUGGAGAACUUGUAGUGGUUUUUGAGGCAUAGUGCUAUUGUCUGUUUUGUUGAACGUAUUUCUUUGUCUUGAUGAACUUUAAGGAGCACUGAGAACACAGUGUGCCAUAGGGGGAAGACUUACAGAAAGACAUGAUUAGAAAAUGGAAUAAUUUUAAAAUUUCUUCUCCUACAAUGCUUUCUAAAAUAUUCCUAUUCUGAAGCACACUUGCUUUUUUCUGCCUGAUGUGUACACCCCGGGCUCUCACCCGGCUCUGCUACAUUACUCGGUGCUUCAGUUGAUUUACUCUCAUCCUUGCUAAAAAUACUGUAAAAACUCACUCUUAAAUAAAUGACACAGUGGAAGGUU